rnacentral:rRNA from 1 species
UACGUAGGGGGCGAGCGUUGUCCGGAUUCAUUGGGCGUAAAGGGUGCGUAGGCGGCGCGGUAAGUCGGGUGUGAAAUCUUGGAGCUUAACUCCGAAACUGCAUUCGAUACUGCCGUGCUUGAGGACUGGAGAGGAGACUGGAAUUUACGGUGUAGCGGUGAAAUGCGUAGAUAUCAGGAGGAACACCAGCGGCGAAGGCGGCGCUCUGGGCCGGUACUGACACUGAGGAGCGAAAGCGUGGGUAGCAAACAGG